UACGUAGGGAGCAAGCGUUGUCCGGAAUUACUGGGCGUAAAGGGUGCGUAGGCGGCUAGGCAAGUCAGAUGUGAAAUACCCAGGCUUAACUUGGGGGGUGCAUUUGAAACUGCUUGGCUUGAGUGCAGGAGAGGAAAGCGGAAUUCCUAGUGUAGCGGUGAAAUGCGUAGAUAUUAGGAGGAACACCAGUGGCGAAGGCGGCUUUCUGGACUGCAACUGACGCUGAGGCACGAAGGCGUGGGGAGCAAACAGGAUUAGAUACCCUGGUAGUCCACGCUGUAAACGAUGGAUACUAGGUGUGGGGGAGAUACAACCUCCGUGCCGGAGCAAACGCAAUAAGUAUCCCGCCUGGGGAGUACGGUCGCAAGGCCGAA
rnacentral:rRNA from 1 species